rnacentral:rRNA from 1 species
UACGUAGGGUGCAAGCGUUGUCCGGAAUUAUUGGGCGGAAAGAGCUCGUAGGCGGUUUGUCGCGUCGAAUGUGAAAACCCGGGGCUCAACCCUGGGCCUGCAUUCGAUACGGGCAGACUAGAGUUCGGUAGGGGAGUCUGGAAUUCCUGGUGUAGCGGUGAAAUGCGCAGAUAUCGGGAGGAACACCAGUGGCGAAGGCGACUUCCUGGCCUGUUCUUGACGCUGAGGCGCGAAAGCUAGGGGAGCAAACGGG